CUCUCAGCUCUCGAUCCCGGCGAGUGCCGAGCAUCACUGAAGACUUGACACCGGCGGAGUCGGACGUCCGCCCGCGCUCGCCACAACGAACGAAGGUGUCCUUCUAAACGCGAACGUGAGCUGUCGUCCCGUGAAGCGGCGCAUCCCGUCCUCGGCAAUCGGUCCACUUCCGCCGGAGGGACAGACUUUUUUUUUUUUCUCCUCCGCGCCCCAAUGACCGAAGAGCCGCAGAUCCGAGACAAUGACGCCCCGAAGUUAUAGAAAUGAAUCGUAUAGAAGAGCUGGCAAGAAGACCCCCACCCCCCCCCUAACAGAUCAAAGCCUUCGCCGCAGAGGGAAGGAAAGGAAGCUGAAGAGCAAAUGAGGAGAAGACGAGCGAUGAAAGAGAGGUCCAGACAUGAAGGGUGCAUGAAUUCACACACACACACACACACACACACACACACACACACACACACACACACACACACACACACACACACACACAGGGACCGGCACCUUGAGUCUGUCUGCGGUCGCCACCUCCCCGCCGCACCAACGCACGACGCCUGCUGUUACGGGCAGCAAAUAAAAAGAGAGACGCCAUUCCAGCUGUGAGGAGACGGAAGAAGUCAACACACACACACACACACGGAGCCGGAGGCGCGCGAGCAGGUGAGCAUUAAGUCAGGCAGCUAAAGCGAUCACGUCGCGGUAUGAUAUCUGCAGACAGGCAGACAGAGGAGGCCGGUCUGUACCUGCAGGCACAGAGCAACAACUCGCAGGCGCACUCGCCAGGAAUGUCCUCCUCCUGAGACACGGAGACAGACGGAGAGAGGGAGGCUUCUUUUGACUGACGUGUUUUAGGCAAACCAAAGCCUGAUUACAAACUGGCCGGCAGAUACUGGAUUUCAGAUACUUUACCAGCAAUAUUUGAUUAAAAACAGUAAAGAUACAUUUACUGAUUAAAACACCAGAGGCCUGUUGCCAGCAACGCAUGUAAAAACCGAUUUAUUCCAAUUUUAGUUUUGCUGUAAAGAACUUUCAAUAAUACUAAUAUCAGCUAACAAUGAAGGACGUUGGUGUCAUUACUCAGUUUAUAACCAUCUAGAUUGUAAAACUUGCUGUACUUUCUGCAUUUUUUUUCCAUCUUUCUCUUUUCGGCAUUUAGUUUUUAUUUUCAAAUCAGGUCGUGAUGAAAAAAAAAAAGUAUUUCUUUGUAGUUUCCCACCAAACAGUUUUCUUUUUGCACGCCUGAAAUUAUUGUUAUGGAGUAAUAAUAAUUUGAGGCUAUACUUAAGAGGAUAAUGAGAUGAACUCUCCCAAUAUUUACCCUCCUUUGCUAGUUUUCUGCUUUUCAUUCAUAAACAACCAGCUCAGCACAUGUCUGCAGCCGUCUGUGGUGUCCAUAAUCACAUUCAAGAUAACUACCCUUUGGGGAAAACCCGUCAAGAGUUUUGGUUUCUCUACCAAGCGGCAUUUCUCUGAACCAACUGUGGUUUUUGUUUCUGCUUGAGAAACCUAACGGCAGAUAAAAUGGAGAGCUGCUGCACACACAUAUCUUUUUCUGACUUGCCCUGCCAUGUACAACUUCUUGUUUUUUCCUUUAUAUUUAGCCCCAAAAAGAAAAAAACGCGUCAACAAAACGUGUAGCAGUCACAGCUCUCCCCACAUGAACUACACACAUCCACUUCCCUGAAAAAUGAUUCAGUGGUUAAAUGCCAGAGCUGUCCGUGCCAUUAAGGCCAGCACGUUUGACGGAAGGGCGACGUUUACAUGCCCUCUCCCCUCCCCUCCUUGCUCUGUCUCCUCUCAUUCCCCUCAUCCUCUCCCUUCUCCGUCUCUCCCCUGACUGCACCGCCCGCCUCCUCCACCCUCUCGCCACCCCGCCAACUCGUCUGUCCCCUCCCUACCUUCCGCCCACCCCGCAUCCGCCCAAGCCCGGGCUGGUUUGAGGGCUGUGAAGACCUUGUCAUCCAAAUUAGGGCCACGCCGUCAGCUCAGGGCCCUUGUCUCUCCAGCUGCGUGUCCGGAUCCUUCGUCCUGCUGUCACCCUCGUCCUGCGGCCAGAGAAGACCUUAUAGAGCAACAUUACUUCACGUCCACUUCUGUCAAUUCCGACUCUGUCACUCAAAUCAGGGCGCGCGAGAGUGGAGAGGGGGCAGAGUCCCUCGCAGCAAGGACUGUGCUUUUUGGCGUCAGCAGAUGUGUCAACAGGAUUUGGGUAUUUUGAGUUGGGGGAAUUUUUUUUGCUCAUAACUGUCCAGCUCUUCAGUGGAUAUACAGGGAACGAUAAAGGAGAUCUUGUGAUUUAAAGGAGAAAAGAGAGGUGGGACCUUCAUCACUGUUAGUAGAACAUAUCAUUGUUUUAAACAUUUUAAGAUUGAUUAUUCAACGUGUUUUGUUUUGAUUCACAGUAAAAGGGAGAUAUUUAUUAUUAUCCCUUAUUUAUUUAAGGGAAAUAUUUUUUCCUUAUAAAAAUGAUUAUUUGGCAGAGUUAUGCAGCAGAUCAUCUUAAUGACUUCUUACCCUGCUGUAAAAGAGUUUGAGCGCCAUUUUUAUUUAUCAUCUAACCACAUCUUGACUCACCGCCACCGUUUUAUUGUCAAGUCCUUUAAUUGCUACAUCCCCUCUGUGGCUUUGGAUUUUUGUUCUCACCAACAGCAUUUUUCUAUUUCCGAUAAUGAGCAACGAUGAUUCAGAUGUGUAAAAAAAAAAAACCAACUGUACGCGUUGGGUGACAGUUUCUUUUACUGGUAUUGCUGCAAGUCCACGUAGCCACGUCAUAGCGAAACAGCAGAUGCCAUCGAUGUGGCUGAGUCGUCGGUUUCAUUUCUUUCUCUUUCUCUUUCUCGUCUUCUACCUCGCGUGAAGCCCUCGAGGCUCCGGUGCCUCUCUAGAGGCCGCGCCGCUCUGCUUCAACACCCGCGACCGGCUGCAACCUUCACCCAGGUGCUGCUUUAACGAAAAACCCGCGCUGAAUGAGUCAGGAGUUUCAAGAUGACUUCACCUCAUCCAACUGCUACACACAGUAAAAUGUCUCGCUGUCUUUGGUGUCCUUCUGACCCUCCGUCGUGGAAGUUAAUAGUGCACAGACUAGUACUACUGGGGCAAAGCCAGUUGUGUUUAUUUUUAAUGCAAGCAGCUUUAGUAGAAGAAGGCACACGGGUUAUGAAUAAACUGCAUUUUACACACACGCAAAUCUUUUUUCAUAUCUCCUAUUCUAAGGUAAAGUAUGUGAAUGAGCAACACCACGUGCAAGGAAUGAGGACAAAAAGCACCAUUAGAUGUUCAUGGUGUAUGCAUGUAUAGUGUGUAUAUGUAUUUAUCAUCAGGUGUCUGUUUAGAGGAAUUUACUUGACGGAAAAGAUAUAAUCAGUAUGACUUCAGCGUCCUCCCUGCUCAGAGUUAGAAGCCACACAGAAAAAUCUGGCUUCCUCCUGCACCUCCAAGCGGAGCGUCAUCGCUGGUCACCGUCAGGUCUGCGCUCGCCCCAGUGAACAUUCAACGCUGUCGGUGAGUUUCUGCCAUGUUGGGAAAACCAUCGACCGUUGAUUGUACCCUGUGGAGAGCCACUUUCACUCGCUGUCUCCGAAAUCCGGAAUGAAAGGAAACCUGGUUGAAACCCACGCAGGAAUGACCAAAGACCCCGGGACGCAUCCCAUGAAGAGCACGGCACACGUCCUCGUCAAACAAAGCAACUCCCGAACCACAGCAAAGGUCACAAUCAACAUUCAUUGCUGUCGGUGGGUUUAACUGUGGAAGAGCUCACUGAACGAUGAAUGCAACUGUGUCCCAGAUUUCAUCCCAACGUCACAAGGAAUCGCGUCACGAUAUGCUGAUAAUGGCGUUAUUCAUUUCCCGGAUUACUUCCCCCCCCCAAACACAGGCAGUGAGAAUUGUCUGUGGGUUGAGAUUGAAGGUGAGACAUAUAAAUUAAAGAGACGGUUGGGAGAAAAUUACCCUUAAAGCAGAAAAAUAGGUAGUAUGAUAGUAUGGCUCGCUUUACAUGUAGUUCAGAUAAAUGAUUUAUUUGCUAUAGAUAUUAGCUUCCAAAAUGAUGAGCUGCUUUUUGCAGAAAAAUAUAUUUGCAUUUUAAAAGUCAUGAUAAAAAAUAAAUAAAUAAAUAACACCAGCAGCUAAAACCGUCAGAUUUCACCCAAAUAUAUUAGUAUUAUUCUGUUUGAUAGGACGAAUGCAGGACGCAAUCGAAUGGUAGGUAUGUCAUUUUAUCCUCACCUGUUUAUUUAAUGUGGAAUAAAAUCUAAUCUGCCUUCUACCUGUAUUGCUGUAUUUUAUAUAAUAAAGUCACCGGUUCAGUCUUCA